rnacentral:rRNA from 1 species
CAGCAGCCGCGGGAAUACGAAGGGUGCAAGCGUUAAUCGGAAUUACUGGGCGUAAAGCGUGCGUAGGCGGUGAGUUAAGUCUGCUGUGAAAUCCCCGGGCUCAACCUGGGAAUGGCAGUGGAUACUGGCUCGCUAGAGUGUGUCAGAGGAUGGUGGAAUUCCCGGUGUAGCGGUGAAAUGCGUAGAGAUCGGGAGGAACAUCAGUGGCGAAGGCGGCCAUCUGGAACAACACUGACGCUGAGGCACAAAAGCGUGGGGAGCAAACAGGAUUAGAUACCCCUGUAGUCCCUGUCUCUUAUAC